GAUUAUUGAGGUGUUACUAGCUUUAAUUAAUGAAAUUUCUGAUGGAUUAUUCAUCUCCAAAUGAAAUUUCUGAUGAAUGCAAUAUAGUGACAAGUAUUCUUUGUGGAAAUACUGCACUCUCUAAAUACCUAGCAAUAUAGUGGCAAAUAUUGUGUUUUUAUUGGUAACAAUAUAAUGGUAAACAUUCUUAUUUUCUAUAAUACUCUUCCAGCUUGCUUUUACAUGGAAUCUCUCUAUGAACAAAAACGAUACCUACUCUCUCUAGAAGAAAUGUUGAUCUAAGCAAGAACAAAAACAUAUUUCAGUCAAGUUUUUUGAUUUACUAAUUUCUUAAGUCAGGUUAUAUAGAGAUAGACAUAGGAAUGAAAUAAAUAGACUGAAAUAUUAAAAGUUCUUGCAGAUCUGACACUGUCUAUCAAACUAAACCAGUAGCAUAAUUUUUCUUUGGGUGAGUAAUAAUUUAUUUUGGAGAAACAAGUAGUUGUUAAGGCAUAAGCUUCCCAGGUAAACUUUCUUUUGCUCUAUAAGCAUAAGCUUAUACUGAUUCUUGUCUACAUUUGACUUGCAAAAUUUAUUCAUUAGUUAGUGUUUAGACUUCACUUCCAAGUGGAAACAUUGUGCAUACUGGAGUUGUGUGAUACGGCAGAUGAUGCUUGGGGCAGAUGGAAAGGAUUUCCCUACAAUAUCAGAGAACAAAUAUGGAAUAAAUUUAAGACAAAAUGUGUAUGGCAGCCAUGUUAUGAGAAGAAAAUAAAUUCUAUUUUUGAGAAGAAUGCUCGUAUACAAGUAACUGAAAUGUUGUUUAUAGCUUGAAAAAAUAAUGAAAAGCCCAGUUGACUACGAGCAGACAUAUGGGUUAAAUUUUUGGAGAAAUGGAACUCUCCUGAUUUUAAGGAGAAGUGUGAGCGAGCAGAGGUAGCUUGACAUCCGUAAAGGGUGGCUGCUUACACACCGGAGGUUCUAUGAGUUUUGCAGCCCACAAAACGAAAAAUGUUAAAAGGUGCAGAAGUGUCUAAUCCUGAGGUAUUUGAGGAGACGCAUAAGAAAAAAAAUAAGAAUGGUACAAGGGGAGAAUGGAGGAGCCACGUGCAGAGGAGACAUUUGUUCAAUUUCAUAGAGGCUUGGAUGAAUGGCAUCAGACACAUCCUACUUCAGAGGUUGAUUCCUCAUCAUCUAGUGCUAUUACAUCUAUAUGGAUAAAUGUGGCAGGAGGUGUGAAGAAAGGUAGAGUUUACGGAAUGGGAGCACAACCUUCCUCAUUUAAUUUUCAUCCAUCAUCAUUAUUGUCUGGUGCUUCUACUUCUCAAUCUUCGAAAUAAAUGGAAGCAAUGCAAAGACAAAUUUCAGAGCUUACAGAACGACUUCAAUCAUCUGAAGCUAACUUUGCUAAAGUGCAAAAAUUUAUGGAGAAAUAUAUGGUUGAAUCUGAUGAAAGUGAAGGGACCAACUCUUAUGAAGAGUAGAUUAUUUUAUAGUUGUGUAGAUAUUUUCUAUGAGAUUUAGAAAUGUUUUGAACAUUUUACUUCCUUUUUGCAUGAUAACUUAAUACUUAUUAGACUUGAUUUUGGUAAUGCUUGAGCUUUUAGACUCGAUUGAAUUGAAUAGAAAGCAAUAUGAAUGUUUUGGAAUGUAUUUGAUGUUUCAUAUUA